rnacentral:rRNA from 1 species
GACGAACGCUGGCGGCGUGCUUAACACAUGCAAGUCGAACGGUAAGGCCCUUCGGGGUACACGAGUGGCGAACGGGUGAGUAACACGUGGGUGAUCUGCCCUGCACUUCGGGAUAAGCCUGGGAAACUGGGUCUAAUACCGGAUAGGACCACUGCCUGCAUGGGUGGUGGUGGAAAGCUUUUGCGGUGUGGGAUGGGCCCGCGGCCUAUCAGCUUGUUGGUGGGGUGAUGACCUACCAAGGCGACGACGGGUAGCCGGCCUGGGAGGGUGACCGGCCACACUGGGACUGAGAUACGGCCCAGACUCCUACGGGAGGCAGCAGUGGGGAAUAUUGCACAAUGGGCGCAAGCCUGAUGCAGCGACGCCGCGUGAGGGAUGACGGCCUUCGGGUUGUAAACCUCUUUCAGCUAUGACGAAGCGCAAGUGACGGUAGUAGCAGAAGAAGGACCGGCCAACUACGUGCCAGCCGCCGCGGUAA